UACGGAGGGUGCGAGCGUUAUCCGGAAUUACUGGGUUUAAAGGGUGCGUAGGCGGCGCAGUAAGUCAGGAGUGAAAGUUUGCGGCUCAACCGUAAAAUUGCUUUUGAUACUGCUGUGCUAGAAUUAGGAUGAGGUCAGCGGAAUGUGGCAUGUAGCGGUGAAAUGCAUAGGUAUGCCAUAGAACACCAAUUGCGAAGGCAGCUGGCUAGACCUAUAUUGACGCUGAGGCACGAAAGCGUGGGGAGCGAACAGG
rnacentral:rRNA from 1 species